AAGCAGUAACUUGAAUAUAAACAAGUUCUUUAUAGCACAAGAAAGUUUUUGAAGUGAUCAAGAAAUAUGCAAACACAAAGCUAUAAUAUUCACAUAUAUAUAUUCCGCGAAAAAGAAAAAACCCGAAUAAAUCUCGCCAAUAAUACAAUAGGAGCAGCCGCAUAACUUCCGCAUAGACUGUUAGUUAGAAUGAAGUCAAAUAGUAAAUCAAAUUUCGAAUUUCAUUUGAUUUUGGCACAGUCUCUCAGCUGCGACAGUCUCUAGAAGAUCACACGGCCCACAGUUCACGGCUGUGUUCCCAAGUAACCAAAACCCACAAAAGGCAAACACAUUGACAUAUUUAUAUAUCCAUAUAUACACACAUUAAAGUCAAAUAUUUUCUCUGCAACGUUCCCAGAGGCAAAGAAAAAGACAACAGCAACAACAACAACAACAAAAUAAAACAACAAUCAACGAACCAAACCUCACGCUUGCUUGCCAGACAAAUCGGGAGGUCGCAACGUUGAAACUUUUCUGUGUCUGUUUCGGUUUCUUGCCUCUCUUUUUUUUCCAUUUUCCCCCCUCUUUUUUGGGAUUUGUAUGGACUCGGGGGGGCUUGGGCUAUGCAAACAAUGCAAAUUUUCGACGAUAGAUGUAGACGUUAAUUGAGUGAGUGGGUGCUAGAGAAAGACAGGGCGCAAGAGAAUGGGGCUAACAGCGCGCCGUGGCGGUUGCUAUUCGAAUGUCAAUAGGUUAAACACAAGUUCGUUGCCUAAGUCUUUUGUUUUUCCACACCGAAUUCUCGUUCAGGUUUUCCUUCAGCUCAGCGCAGUUGAGUUCAGUUUAGUUUAGCUGAGCCCACUCAGCACUUAAUCAUUUCCAAGUCGUCAGCCGGGGAAUGCUGCAUGCAUAAAUGUCAGUCAGUCAACUGGAAACGGUUGGGGGGAGAUGGAGGGGCGUCCAAUCUAACCAAAAUUGAACUCAUCUAUUGCGAAGCUCAAAGCAGCAGCAAAUUGCCUAUCAUAUCCGCCAGCAAACGACAUGCAGAGUGACUCACUAGCUCGGUUUUUGCUUUUUGGCAAAAGUCAACUGUGCGCCAUUGCCUACCAGCCAACAAUUUGCAGACAAACA